GGGACGAACGCUGGCGGCGUGCUUAACACAUGCAAGUCGAGCGGAAAGGCCUUUCGGGGUACUCGAGCGGCGAACGGGUGAGUAACACGUGAGUAAUCUGCCCAUCGCUUCAGGAUAGCCAUCGGAAACGGUGAUUAAUACUGGAUAUGACAUUCCUUCGCAUGUUGGGGUGUGGAAAGUUUUUUCGGCGGUGGAUGUGCUCGCGGCCUAUCAGCUUGUUGGUGGGGUAAUGGCCUACCAAGGCUUUGACGGGUAGCCGGCCUGAGAGGGUGACCGGCCACACUGGGACUGAGACACGGCCCAG
rnacentral:rRNA from 1 species